rnacentral:rRNA from 1 species
UACGUAUGGAGCAAGCGUUAUCCGGAUUUACUGGGUGUAAAGGGAGCGUAGGCGGCUCUGUAAGCCUGAUGUGAAAAUUUGGGGCUCAACCCCAAACGUGCAUUGGAAACUACAGGGCUUGAGUGCCGGAGAGGCAGGCGGAAUUCCUAGUGUAGCGGUGAAAUGCGUAGAUAUUAGGAGGAACACCAGUGGCGAAGGCGGCCUGCUGGACGGUAACUGACGCUGAGGCUCGAAAGCGUGGGGAGCAAACGGG